UUCAUAGAAGGUGAUGGAGUUCACCAAAAUUGCUUAUCAGCUGAUGACUCCUGCAGGAUU
rnacentral:ncRNA from 1 species